GAUGAACGCUGGCGGCGUGCCUAAUACAUGCAAGUCGAGCGAACAGACGAGGAGCUUGCUCCUCUGACGUUAGCGGCGGACGGGUGAGUAACACGUGGAUAACCUACCUAUAAGACUGGGAUAACUUCGGGAAACCGGAGCUAAUACCGGAUAAUAUAUUGAACCGCAUGGUUCAAUAGUGAAAGACGGUUUUGCUGUCACUUAUAGAUGGAUCCGCGCCGCAUUAGCUAGUUGGUAAGGUAACGGCUUACCAAGGCAACGAUGCGUAGCCGACCUGAGAGGGUGAUCGGCCACACUGGAACUGAGACACGGUCCAGACUCCUACGGGAGGCAGCAGUAGGGACUCUUCCGCAAUGGGCGAAAGCCUGACGGAGCAACGCCGCGUGAGUGAUGAAGGUCUUCGGCUUGUAAAACUCUGUUAUUAGGGAAGAACAAAUGUGUAAGUAACUAUGCACGUCUUGACGGUACCUAAUCAGAAAGCCACGGCUAACUACGUG
rnacentral:rRNA from 1 species